AUUCGAAACGGUCAGAAAUGACCGUCUAUCGGGAAUGACCGUCCGAUACUGAUGAGAUAGGUUAAC
rnacentral:hammerhead_ribozyme from 1 species